rnacentral:lncRNA from 1 species
GAGAGUCAGUGAGGGGGAGGUCAGAGAGACCUUGAGGUUUCUUCUUCAUUCAUGAUAUGAUUUGGCUCUGUCCCCACCUAAAUCUCCUCUUGAAUUGUAGUUCCCAUAAUCCCCAUGUGUUAUUGGAAGAACCUGGUGGGAGGUAAUUGAAUCAUGGGGGCAGUUACCUCCACGCUGUUCUUGUGAUAGUGAGCGAGCUCUUACGAGAUCUGAUGGUUUUAUAAGGGGCUUUUCCCCACCUUAGCUCUGCACUUCUCCUUGCUGCUGUCAAGUGAAGAAGAACUUGUGUUUGCUUCCCCUUCCACCAUGAUCGUGAGUUUCCUGAGGCCUCCCCAGCUCUGCAGAACUGCUGGAGUGUGACGGCGCAAUCUCAGCUCACCGCAAUGUCCGCCUCCCAGGUUCAAGCGAUUCUCCUGCCUCAGCCUCCUGAGUAGCUGGGAUUACAGGUAUGUGCCACCAUGCCCAGCUAAUUUUUGUGUUUUUAGUGGAGACAAGGUUUAUCCAUGUUGGUCAGGCUGGCCUUGAACUCCUGACCUCAGGUGAUCCACCCGCCUCAGCCUCCCAAAGUGCUGGGAUUAUAGGCGUGAAUCACCGCACCUGGCCUGAGCCACCGCUCCUGGCCAGAGGUGCCCUUUACAGCCAGACUAAGAGGACCUUAGACACACCCAGGGGCAUGCUUUCGUCUCCUCAUGAGGCUAUGCCAGGUUGAAGAACCCCGACCUUGGGAAAUGUAUUCCUGUGAGGAGAGAGGCCGGUUAAACCCUCUGCUCAGAGCUAAGGCAAGGCCUGCUCUGUCCUUUUGUUCUGUAGGGAAUGCACAUCUGACAAUUACCCUAGCUGUGGGCAGAUCCUUAGAAGGAUGUGAGACCAGGGAGAAGUGGCCUGAGAGUGCCUUGGGGCUCAGAAGGUCCCCCAUAAGAAAGCCUGAAGAUCACUCUCUCUCCGAAGGGAGAAGGCAGGCCUGAGAGGCAAGGAAGCAGACUGGGAACGGGGCCGCAGGGGACUCAGAGCCAGCGUACCUGGUCAUUGCAGGAACACACACAUCUCCACGUUCCAAAGCCCCUCUGAGGGGCCCAGGUCUUCACUCAGAUUGUCUGAACAGCCCCACCAGAUUCCAGCUCGGCCAUCAGGAGCAAAGGAUCAGCCCGUGUCCUCACUUAGGACUGAGCAGCAAGGCGAACCCUACCUUCGCGGCCCUCCUCGUGCUGGGUGCAGUUCAGACUGUGGGCUUGGGGGGAACCUGUGGUUGUGCUUGGCAACCUCCAGAGUUGACUGGCCUUGGAGGGUCUCAGGCUGAGUCGGGGGCUAUUUUUAGUUCAUUUAAUCAUUUAGUUGCUUACUGUCUUUUAUAUCGUUUUAAUAAUCUUUUUUAUUUCUUUUAAUUUACUUUGUCUCUUUUAUUGUCUGCUAUAUUAUUUUUUCUCUUCCUGUUUUCUAUUUUUUCAUCUUAAUAAACUGGAUGCUGGGAGUCUAGGCCUCUGGGGAGAUCCAUGAGGCAGCCCUUGCCCCCAGGCAAAUGAAGCCGGAUGCUCUGCCCUCUCUGAUGGCCCCCAAAUCCCCUUACCAGGCACCUCACAUCCCCAUUGACUCUGCUGACUCGUAAAAACCUCCACCAGUGGAAUUCAGGAGCCCCCAGGCCAGAGUUGUCCCCAGGGUGAUGAUAAUAUAUUUACCUACACUUACACACAUUUGAAGUAUAGGAAAAUGUUGGUAACCCUUUUGCUAUUGUUUUUGUUUGUUUUUUGAGAUGGAGUCUUGCUCUGUCACCCAGGCUGGAGUCCAGUGGUGCAAUCUCGGCUCACUGCAAGCUCCGCCUCCCAGGUUCGUGCCAUUCUCCUGCCUCAGCCUCCCCAGCAGCUGGGACUACGGGUGCCUGCCACCAUGCCCAGCUAAUUUUUUUGUAUUUUUAGUAGAGAGGGUUUCACCGUGUUAGCCAGGAUGGUCUCGAUCUCCUGACUUCAUGAUCCGCCCACCUCGGCCUCCCAAGGUGCUGGGAUUACAGGCGUGAGCCACUGUGUCCAGCCACCCUUUUGCUAUUUUUAUAAUUAGAAAGUUAAUACAUGCUCAUCAUCAAAAAAUAUAAAUCUAAAAGUGUAUGAAGUAGAAAAUGUAAGUCCUCUGUUUCCCCCAAAUCCUUGGGAGAAACCUUGCUAAGAUAAUACAUGUGUGGAACUAAAUCUGCAGCCUAGAUAUACACUUACCCAUUUAAAAUUUGAUAGGUGGCUGGGCACAGUGCUUCAUGCCUAUAAUCCCAGCACUUUGGGAGGCAGAGGCAGGCAGAUCACCUGAGGUCAGGAGUUUGAGACCAGCCUCACCAACAUGGUGAAACCCCAUCUCUACUAAAAAUACAAAAAUUAGCUAGGCGUGAUGUUGCACGCCUGUAGUCCCAUCUACUCAGGAGGCUGAGGCAGGAGAAUCACUUGAACCUGGGAGGUGCAGGUUGUAGUAAGCCGAGGCUGCGCCACUGUACUCCAGCCUGGGCAACAGAGUGAGACACGGACUCAAAAAAUAAAAUAAAAUAAAAUUUAAUAGGUGGCUGGGCAUGGUAGCUAACGCCUGUAAUCUCAGCACUUUUGGAGGCUGAGGCAGGUGGAUUGCUUGAGCUCAGGAGUUCAAGACCAGCCUGGGCAACAUGGUGAGACCCUGUCUUUACCAAAAAAAAAAAAAAUACAAAAAGUUAGCCAAGCAUGGUGAUGUGCACCUGUAGUCCCAGCUACUUGGGAGGCUGAGGUGGGAGGAUCACUUGAGCCCAGGAGGUGGAGGUUGCAGUGAGCCAUGAUUGCGCUACUGCACAAUUGCAACAUUGCACUCCAGCCUGGACCACAGAGUGAGAUCUUGUCUCAAAAAAAAAUAAAAAUAAAAAUUGAUAGUUAAGGCCAAAUUGUCCUUCAGAAAUACUAAGCCAAUUUAUAUUUCUACCAACAGUUUAGGAAAGGGUCCCUUUUCCCUUUGCCUGCACCCUCACCAGCCUUCACCAACACAGCAGCAGGGCUAACCUAGACUUUUGGAAAUUGUUCCUGUAUCUGCCUACCCUUGUUUACCACCCCACCCCAUUCUCAGGCUAUUGGGAUUCAGGGUCGAUGGGAAUGACUCUCGUCCGUUAAUCACCAGGAGAUGCAACAUCCUUGCUGGGCAAGGCUCCUGCUGUGGACUCCUGCUGUGGACUCCCCCCACCGACCAGCACCGUAGGCCAGCUGCUGCCCCUACGAAGGACAUGCCAAUGAGCUCCCUGCAGUCUUGCAGAAGCAAAAACUUGCCCACUCAAGCAGGAGACCCCAGGCAUGCUUGAAGGUGGGCAGGUGCCUGUCUUCAUGUUCAAGUGGGCAGACACCCACCAAAUGCCAAAUGUGAGUCAUGCCUGUGAGUCCCUCAGAAUUUCUCCCAGAUCCUGACCCUCCCACCACAUCUAACAGCAUCGCGUUGCUCCGGGGAAUCCAAGUACUGUGUGUGCGCCCGGCAGGGGCCUGUGGUUAGGAAGGUGGGUGUUCCUGCCAGCCCACUGCUGCUGGGUGGAGAGUCCAAGGAGGGGCAGGGAGGGAGGGAGGUGUUGGUUGCAUAGUCAGCUUCAGAGAUACUCCAUCUGCAGGUGAGAGAGGACGGAUGGGAGGCAGCCCAAGCUAAGGGUAAACAGAUGUGGAGAUCAGGUGGGACCAGGUGGAAGAAGCAGCAGAAAUGAGGUGAGAGGGUGAGGAGGAAAGCUGGCUGGAAGGAGGCCCCCACAUACCCAGGACCUGAGUGCCAGCUGGCUCUUCAAGUCCAGGCAGCUGGUGGAAAGGUGAGAGCUAGUCAGUAUCCCAGAUAACUGGUUUGACGUUUCCUCUCUGAGUUAAUUGAACAGUUAACUUUGGCCACAGAAAACAGCCCUGAAUUUUAUUACUUGGAAGUUAAGACAGACUUUCUCUUUUCCUUCUGCUUCCUCAAUGAUGUGGCUUUCUGUGGGACAAACCUCCCAGAAAGAGAGAGAGAGAGAGAGAGAGAGAGAGAGAGAGAGAUGUUAGUGGCCAUAGUCCAUGGCAGCAGGUGCCUGGGUAGACCAUCA